rnacentral:lncRNA from 1 species
UCCCCCACCUCGUUGCGCCGCCGUCGCCGCUCCCCUACCUCGCUGCGCCGUUGUUGCCGCUCCACUACCUCGCAGCGCCGCCGUCGCCACUCCCCUACCUCGCAGCGCCGCCGCCGCUCCUGUACAAAAAAAUAUUGAUACCAAUUAUUGCUGCUUCCAUUGUUCUUGGCGAACUUGUUUUUUCCUUCUUCUAAAUUUACUAUUACCGCAAAUACACUCUCAAAUCCAACCACAAAGAUCAACACAUGUCACUUUCUUCUUUUUUAUUAUUCAUUAUUCUCCUCAGAUCAGAUCCUCACAUUAUUAUCAUUUUGAUUUAAUUAAUUAGCUGUCUCAUUAUUAGAUCUACUAUUAUUUUUAAAAUUAGAUCUACUAUUUUUUAAGAUUUGUGAAUAAUUAAUAUUAAAAUAUUUUUCUUUGGAUUAAUUUGAUUUUUUAUUUCGUUUGAUUCUUAUGUUGUUUAUUUUUGUUAUAAAUGAUUUUUGUUAUAAAUAUUUUUUAUUUCGGUAGGGUUAAUAUCUUCAAGAGAAAAUCGAUGAAAUUUUUGUCUGCUCCGGCGAAUAGG